ensembl:processed_transcript Gm16201 predicted gene 16201
ACCCCCUCGGUUCUCCAUUAGGAGCGCAAACAGCAAGCGGGUUUGGGGCAAGAGGUAAGGAGGACCUGGAGAGCGGACAGAGGCUCCCCUGGAGCUCCGUGCCCUUCUUGGAGGAGUGCUAUGGCCUCUUCCCCGGCCUGGAGGCGGCGCUUACGGGGAUUCACAAGUUUCUGUGCAGGGCGUAUUCUCUAGAAGGGCUUUGGAAUUAAGAAGACGAAAGCGCGCGGGGUUUUAUCUCUUUAGGUAACCCUGCCUGACUUGAAACUUGAGGUACUCCUGCAACAUCCUGCAUGCUGGAAUUGCAAGCAUGAGCCACGUGGUUCCAUGGGAGAUCAUCUGAAGGAACAAGGCAGAGCAAUAGAGGAAGACACCCAAUAUCUUCUGUCCUACGCAUGUGUGUAUACAGGCUAGGAAUGGGUCAAAUGAUAGCGCUUCUCCUGGUCUUUGGAGUCCUUCAGUCUUCUGACCACAGGCUUGACUAUGACAGCAGAAGUGGCAUUGUAGAUCCAGGCCUCUCCACGUAGUGUUUCCUUCCAUUCAGGAACCACAGUGCCAGUGCCAGUGCCAGCGCCCAUCUUUUCAUCUUGCUUUUGCCUCAGGAGAAACAAGAAUGCUUGACGUGCUGGCUGCUUUCAAUCUGCCAUUUUCUGGAGGAAGAUACCAUAACUGGUCCCACUUAAAAAAAAAAAAAAACACACACAAUUUAUUUUCUU